UCUGGAAGUCAACAUAAUUAAACAAAGAGGAAAAUGUGCCAGACAGGAGUGGGUGGGGGCUGUUUUCUCUUUGUGGUUGGUUGUGGUGCGUUCAAGAUUCCUCGCCUAAGAUGAGGUUCCUGAGCUUCCAGUAGCCGACUGACUGCCCGAGAGACCCAGGGCUCCGCGAGGCGACGGCGCAGGUGUCGAGGCUCCCUGCAGGCCAGGAAAAAGUGUCCAAACGCCUCGCGGACUGCAGCGGGGGAAAUGUCCCUUAAAAGUGCGACGAAGUGGGGAAGAAGGUGAGUGGGGACUGUUGUCCUGUUUACCUCUCUCCCCUCAACUCGCCCCGCUCCCCGCCCUUCGGAGGGCAGAGGAGUAGCUCAGUGGCAAAGUUUGGCUGGUAAAUUGUACCUCCUUUCCCCAUUCCCCUCCCUUUUGUUCUUUAAAGAACUCGCGCAAUUGUUUCAUUUGUUUAUUUUUAAUAGGCAAAAGCCAAGUAGGCAUUUAUCUCAUG
rnacentral:lncRNA from 1 species